ensembl:lncRNA
CACGGUGCCACUGACGCAGCCUGCUCCCAAGGACUGUGGGUUCUCAUUCUCCGUGGCCGACCUAAGACAUUUUAAGCGUGUUAACCCCCGCCAGGCAGACGGCAUCCCUUGCAGCGUCCUCAGAGCAUGCGCAGACCAUCUGGCUGGAGUGUUUACAGAUAUAUUCAAUCUCCCUAUCCCAGUCUGCUGUCCCCACUUGCUUCAAGAUGUCCACCAUUGUUCCUGUACCCAAGAAAGCAAAGAUCCACAGACGAUGCAAUCACACUGCCCUAACCCAUCUGGACAAGAGGAAUACCUACGACAUUGACCCCAAAACACACCUUCGGGCUGUGUAAGGGCUAUUUGACCAAGAAGGAGAGUGAUGGAGCGCUGCAUCAGAUGACCUGGCAUCCACAAUCACCAAACCUCAACCCAAUUGAGACGGUUCGGGAUGAGUUGGACGGCAGAGCGAAGGAAAAGCGGCCAACAAGUGCUCAGCAUAUGUGGAACUCGAAGACGGUUGGAAAAGCAUUCCAGGUGACUACCUCAUGAGACUGGUUGAGAGAAUGCCAAGAGUGUGCAAAGCUGUCAUCAAGGAAAAGGGUGGCUACUUUUAAGAAUAUCAAAUAUUUUGAAUUGUUAAACCUUUUUUUUUUAACAAUAUGAUUCUAUGUGUUAUUUCAUAGUGUUGUCGUCUUCUACAAUGUUGAAAAUAGUCCAAAUUAAGAAACUGUUGAAUGAGUAGGUGUGUCCAAAUUUUUGACUGGUACCGUAUUAUUUCUUAGUUCCAUUAUUUUACUUUUAGAUGUGUGUAUUGUUGUGAAUUGUUAGAUACUACUGCACUGUUAGAGCUAGGAACACAAGUAUUUCACUACACCCGCAAUAACAUCUGCUAAAAAUGUAUGUGACCAAUAACAUUUGAGUUGAAACCUCAUUAACC